rnacentral:tRNA from 1 species
GGGGUUGUGGCUCAUUGGUAGAGUGCUCACCUAGCAUGUGUGAGGCCCUGGGUUCAAUCCUCAGCACCA